UACAUGUGGGGCAAGCGUUGUUCGGAAUUACUGGGCAUAAAGCGUGCGUAGGUGGUUCGUUAAGUCUGAUGUGAAAGCCCUGGGCUCAACCUGGGAAUGGCAUUGGAUACUGGCGACCUAGAGUGCGGUAGAGGGGUGUGGAAUUCCCGGUGUAGCAGUGAAAUGCGUAGAUAUGGGGAGGAACACCGGUGGCGAAGGCGGCCAUCUGGACGGAUACUGACGCUGAGACGCGAAAGCGUGGGUAGCAAACAGG
rnacentral:rRNA from 1 species